CAAUAGCGUAUAUUAAAGUUGUUGCAGUUAAAAAGCUCGUAGUUGGAUUUGUGGUGUGUCCAGUCGGCCUUUGCUCUUUGAGUGAUUGUGCUGUACUGGUCUGCCAUGUUUGGGUGGAAUCUGUGUGGCAUUAAGUUGUCGUGCAGGGGAUGCCCAUCGUUUACUGUGAAAAAUUAGAGUGUUCAAAGCAGGCUUAUGCCGUUGAAUAUAUUAGCAUGGAAUAAUGAGAUAGGACUUUUUUGCUAUUUUGUUGGUUUGCGCAAAGAGGUAAUGAUUAAUAGGGACAGUUGGGGGUAUUCGUAUUCCAUUGUCAGAGGUGAAAUUCUUGGAUUUUUGGAAGACGAACUACUGCGAAAGCAUUUACCAAGGAUGUUUUCAUUAAUCAAGAACGAAAGUUAGGGGAUCGAAGACGAUCAGAUACCGU
rnacentral:rRNA from 1 species